GCACUGCUCAAGACUUCAGCCAUCCUAUCCUUCACCGCUGUCUCAGUCACGUGUUGAAAAAUGCAAAAACCUUGUGCAAAGUGCUUAUUAAGACAAUGCAAUAAUUUGUAUUUCUCUCGUAGUGCGCCCAAGAACUACAAGCUGGCCAUGCAUGUGUUUGGACUGUUGACAUCAGCAAGUUCCAUGCUCCUCAGCUGUCAUCUUCUCCAGUCCAUGCAGCUCAAAAAAUGUUGAGAAGCACUUUAACAACAUUCAAACAAUGCUGACAACCAUUGGGGACUCAACUGUUGAUGACAGCAGCACUGUUCCUGAGAAUCUUGAGGACGCCUUUGGUCCAACACCUUUUCAGCAACACUUCAUGGAUGUCAUAAAAAGCGCACCUCUAGACAAAGAAGGGGACCCUAAUGCCUAUUCUAUUACUCUGAGACAUUCAUUUCGUCGUUGGCAGCUUACUUCUUGCAUCAGGCAGCUCUUUGGACAAGUAUGAUGGUGAUGUCGGCAGGCAUGGUGAAGGGCUCCCUUAUCAGAACUUCUCAAAGAAAUUUGCCAAGAUAUCGGAGAAAAAAAGCCAGAAUUUCACACGAGACAACAAGACACAGGGAGUGAUGGAAAAGAGUCAGUGGGACUUGAAAAAAAUCCGCUUUAAAGGAAGACGACUGACCAAACUAGAUGACUUCAUUAACACUUACAAAGACACUCGCAGAGCUCAUUUAAGGGAAUUUCAUGACUCGCAACGAAUCACGAAAAGAAAGAUGAGAUAUCUUACAGAAGGUUUUAUAUAAAAAAGAGGUUAUACUUGACAAGGAUGUUAAUUUAUCACCAUAUUACUACAGAGACUAAAACAUUGUCCAUGCUUCAAGCACAAUAUGUCACAGAGUGCAAUUCAAGUUUGUUUUGUGUUUCACAAUCUACAAAAAAAUCUUGGGAAGUGUUUUUGGACUAUUGAUAGUUUGUCUCUGUGUCACACAGUAGUGUGAGGUCCGAUUAUACCAGCGGGUACUGCUGUUAAGAAAGGCACAGGAUAGUUACAAAGAGUUGUGAAGUUAUUUUAUUUGUAAUGUCCUUUUUCAAAACAGUGACAACAGCUGUUGUUUUAGGAUGCCAAUAAAACAGUCCAUCCUUUUAAAUAAAAAAGGGAGGGAGGCUACUCGAGUACAAGGCCUAUGCCAUGAAUUUGAGCCUUCAGAAUGUAAUCAGCAGUCAAUGGAAUGUGGAAAGCACAUUCAUAUGUUAUCAUUCAUAUGAUUUACCAUAUGAUGCAAUUUUCAGGUGGCUGCAGCUCCGGUGACUACAACCCAAGCUCCAGCUGCUAACCAAUCGGCAUCACUGCCAGCUACGGACAUUGGGGACCAAAAGCCAGUUACCAAGGAGACACAUGAUUUGAAGGAAGAAAAAGCCAGGACAAAAGCAAAGGAGCCAUGGACCACUUUGGACAAAACACUCACCAGAGGAAGUCAUCCCAGCCAUCAAAUUACACAAACCACAAUUCAUUCACCAAGACCAAAUGCUAAGCAUCCUAGACCACAAAACGUGGCUCAGCAGUGACGAAGUGGAUUCAGCCUGUUUUCAUCUAGCGCAGAAGUUCCCUGAUGUGGAUGCGCUUCAGUCCUGCCUUUGCUACCAGGCCCUUCACCAGGGAGGUGUGGUUGGGACACCAGAAAAGUCAUUUGUGCAAAUAUUAAAUGUAAAUGACAACCACUGGAUCACGGCAAGCAAUAUUUUCUGUGUACCCAAUGAGCUUUGCAUUUAUGACAGUCUGAACACAAACAUCAACAAGAAGACUAAGCAAAAACUCUCCUGGUUAAUUCGUCCACAAGCACCUCACUUCCUCAUUAGAAGGCCUGCCGUGCAGAAGCAGCAGUCAGCUAGCAGUUGUGGACUUUUUGCAUUGCCUUUUGUGCCAGCGUCAUGUGAGGGAGUCAGGCCAGAGGAGUGCCACUUUCAAGAGAACAACAUGUGACAAAGACUGUACAGAGCUUUGCUGAACAAAAUGGCUCCAGGCUUUCCGUAUAAAAACAUGAAGGCAAAGCCUGAAAGGGCUUCAGUUCAGGUUGAAGUUCACUGCAUCUGCAGGACCUCACACAACAGAGAGGUGAUGGUGCAGUGCAGCAACUGCAGUACUUGGUACCACCCCAAUUGUGUGUCUGUCCCACACCAAGCUUUGGACAGUACUGCAGAAGAGUGGAACUGUGAAAGAUGCAGUGAUCAAGAGUGAAAGUUGUGGGGCCUGGCCCUGGUCCUGCCGCCCUUGGGGCACGGUCGUUCACUCUGUGUCGUGUGUGAUGUGGUGUGGUGUGGUGUGGUUGUGUUCAUGGGGCUUCUGUUCAUGUGUUGCCUUUUGCUGUUGUUGUUGGUUGCUUCAGUUUUGCUAUAUGAUGAUGUUCUGAUGAAAGUUGUUUCUGGAAGAUUUCAGAAGUUAUUCAAUAAAAACAUUGUAAUGUA